UAACGCGAAGAACCUUACCUGGUCUUGACAUCCCGAUGACGAGUGAGCAAAGUCACUUUCCCUUCGGGGCAUUGGAGACAGGUGGUGCAUGGUUGUCGUCAGCUCGUGUCGUGAGAUGUUGGGUUAAGUCCCGCAACGAGCGCAACCCCUAUUUCCAGUAGCCAGCAAGAAAGAUGGGAACUCUGGAGAGACUGCCCGGGAUAACUGGGAGGAAGGCGGGGAUGACGUCAAAUCAUCAUGCCCCUUAUGAUCAGGGCUACACACGUGCUACAAUGGCGUAAACAAAGGGAAGCGAAGUGGUGACACGAAGCAAAUCCGAAAAAUAACGUUUCAGUUCGGAUUGUAGUCUGCAACUCGACUACAUGAAGCUGGAAUCGCUAGUAAUCGCGAAUCAGAAUGUCGCGGUGAAUACGUUCCCGGGCCUUGUACACACCGA
rnacentral:rRNA from 1 species